UACGUAGGGUGCGAGCGUUGUCCGGAAUUACUGGGCGUAAGGAGCUCGUAGGUGGUUUGUCACGUCGUCUGUGAAAUUCCGGGGCUUAACCUCGGGCGUGCAGGCGAUACGGGCAAUACUUGAGUGCUGUAGGGGAGACUGGAAUUCCUGGUGUAGCGGUGAAAUGCGCAGAUAUCAGGAGGAACACCAAUGGCGAAGGCAGGUCUCUGGGCAGUUACUGACGCUGAGGAGCGAAAGCAUGGGUAGCGAACAGGAUUAGA
rnacentral:rRNA from 1 species